CAUCCCCACCUCCACCUCCACCUCCCACACGACCCCCACCUCGCCCUCCCGCGGUCCAAAUCCCCCGUCUCCCUACCGGAGAACCACCUCUGGACACCGUCGAGCCGGCCCGCCCCGCCCCUGUCCACCUUCUACCGGCGCUGCCACCGCCGCCAUAGCACCAUUCCAGCCCGCCACCGUCGUCCUAGCUCCAUCCCAGGACGCCACCGCCCGGGCAACGUCCACCUUCUACCACCUAGCACGCUGCCGCGCCGCGCCGCCUUCUCCACCUUCUACAGGCACCGCCGCCGCGCCACCCCUGACACACAUUGCUCGCCCCGCCCCCGCCACGCUUCGCAUCGCCGGGCAGCCUCCCCAGCCACGGCAGCCCCUUCGCCUCGCCUUAGAUUCGGUAGCCGCCGCCACCCCCUUCUCUUCUUCCUUCCUGACGGUUGGCUGCAAGAGGGCGAGGCUCCAGUCCAGCGGCAGAUGCCUCGACCUCCGGGAGUGCUCUUCCCAUGGCGCACCAACAGGCUGACUCCGCGGCAAGAUCUGGCAGUGGUCCGGCAGCUCAUCCCACGUCGAUGGAGGGUGGUAACCCCUCUUCCACCUACCUUCUGUCGUGCACUGUAGGCGGCAGCGCCGUGCAGUACGUUGCCCAUGUGUGUGCAGUCCGCGAAGACGGGGUGCAUGACGACUUGCACCUUCGCCUCCCUCCCCGGUCCCCAUCCCGGAUUUGCCGUCGGCCCCAACCUUGAUAGCUUGAUGCGCCGCAUGAAUUGGAGCUCCGGUGAGCACCUUGACAAAUGCAUCUUCCGACGAGUGCCCACGGCGAGCAAUUAUUGUCUUCAUCCUUUCUUCUCUCUCUUGGUGCAAUACAUUGCAGCCCUCCGGUGCAGCUCUUUCGUGUGCACUGUGAAGAUAUAUUGCAGCUCCCACGGCGAGCAAUUAUUUUUACUAUUAAAGUUUUGCUUUAUUCUGCCUCUGUGAAGAUGUAUUUUUCUCUCCUGGGCACUGCAGCACCUGAAUGAGUGCACCGCAUGAAGAUGCUGGGCGAACUGCUCUCCUGGGUGUCCUCUAGAAGCAGCUGGUAGCCAUGUCCCUUUGAAUGAGGAGUAGUUGUUGCCAUCACUGCCGUGCAUCGUCUGCUGAGGUAGCUGCCGAGAAAUAAAACCGGCUGCUCGACAUGGAGGCAAGCCGCUGCUCGAGCCGUGUUGCCCUGCCCCAGUCAAUGUGGUCCUCUCCUCAUCUGCUGCAGGAACAACACCGACAGCAACGUAGCCGUGCAACUCGCUGGUUCAUGGUGUGGCCAGGCCUGCGUCCAAGUGGUGCAGUCCAGCGUCCGCAGAACAUGCAGCUCACUAGCUCAUUGCACGCGGUUCCGACGGCAUGGGGAAGAAGUACAAGGCCACGCCCAUGUCCAAGUGGUGCAACUCGGUGCUCUUGUCUGUGCAGUUUGCAGGUGUAUUCUGGGACGACAGCAUCAAAAGCUCAGUCUCGGGUGAGCUCCUUGGACAUCUUCCUAUUUUGUUUCUUGCCAAAGUUACCAUCUUUUAGUUUUUCAUAUUUGAUGCUCACAUACUCUAUUAACGCCAUCAUCCAGAAUUUUUGUGCCUAUGUUUUCUACAGCUAGACUAGAAACAAAUGAAGUGAUUGCAUCUUGCUAUCGGAGAAUAGGUAAUAAUACAAGGAGUUCUUCACACCGGGUAGUGUUGUCACCUGAGAAGGGGAAGGGAGUUCAGACAAAACAUGAACACGGUGGUUAACCUUUGCGAUGCACUUUGCAAAACAAAGGAGUUCACUUUGUAAAAAAAUAUAUAGAGGAGUGUAUUUUUUAUUAUUUUUGGAGGAUUUUGUUUUUUGGCAAAUUUGUAAGGACAUGGUGUAUAAUUUGUUAAAAUCGAUGUAGCUCAUUAAGAAAACUUUUGCGGUGCACUUUGCAAAACAAAGGAGUUCACUUUGUAAAAUAAAUGAAUAGAGGAGUUCACUUUUUAUUA